GAUAUCCAUGUUAUCGUACCUCCCGUGUAUAGGCAGAGUUUUGAUUCGCUCUUUGUUGUUAAUGAUACUUACACUAUUGCAAACUUCCAAGUUCAGCUGAAUGAUCUGCUGUUCAAACCUUCUGCUCACAAGUACCUCCUUAAAUUUACUGGUGGAACCAAAGUUGGGGAUAGAAACGUGCAUCAGAUUCAGGAAAAGGCUUGCAGACUCACUCCUUUUCUUGAUAUUUUAACUGGGAAAUGGAAUAAAGAUUAACUUUUAGAUGUUAUCGGAGUGGUUGAUGAAAUUGGGUACACACAGGCCCAGGUUGGAAGUAAAAAGCAACAUGUCAACUUUGUCAUUCGCGACUUGAGCAACAACACUAUAACGGUUACGUUAUGGGAGGCGUACACGGUGUAGUUUAUCAACUACGUUGAACAGCAGGUCGAUACUGCCAUUCCGUUUGUGAUUCUGAUUCAAUAUGCAAAAGUCAAAGAAGCUUUUGCAAAUAUCCACUAUCUGUUACCGACACUUACAAUGUCACCAAAGUGGCUAUUAAUGAAGACAUGGAGACAAUCAAACAAUUCGCCAAAAUGCUUACACAGGAUACUAUAAUUGUUGUCUCAGGCCUUCGCAAUCAGCAGUCUCAAGGCAGGUCGCAAAACUCAUACACUUCUCGCCAAUCACCUUCCCAAAAAUUGUUGUCUAAUGUUGUUCUUCUUCCUCUUGAGAAAAUUGUUAAACUCAAAGAGACAACUUUUUGUGCCACGGUUGCAACAAUUACGAAAAUCUUUGCGUCAAGAUAUGGCUGGUACUACUAGGCAUGCCAUGAAUGCCCAAAUAAAGUCACUGGUGAUAAACCUCCCUAUAAGUGUACAAAGGGACAUGAAAUGGAAACCGCCAUAUUCAGGUAUAAACGCCAAUUACAUUAGAUGCAUCCAAAAGUUACAUGCCAAAACAUUUAAAAUACAGACAAAUAAUAAAUAUCUAACUAACAAAUAAUAUGUCUAUCUUUUACCUUUGUUUGGAAAUGGAGGUUGCUCCUUCCUGAAUUUUUAUGCUCUUCUUUCGCUUAUGACAUUCUACCCCAUCCUUCUCUUCCCUGCAACAAGAAGAAGAAUACUAAACUAUAGUUUAUAAACAUUUUAACUAUUAUCACAUAACUUAUAUUAUUAUGUAUUACCUACUUAGUAUCACCUCUAUCUUACAUGCAUCUAAA